rnacentral:rRNA from 1 species
AGAGUUUGAUCAUGGCUCAGAUUGAACGCUGGCGGCAGGCCUAACACAUGCAAGUCGAGCGGUAGCACAGAGAGCUUGCUCUCGGGUGACGAGCGGCGGACGGGUGAGUAAUGUCUGGGAAACUGCCUGAUGGAGGGGGAUAACUACUGGAAACGGUAGCUAAUACCGCAUAACGUCGCAAGACCAAAGUGGGGGACCUUCGGGCCUCAUGCCAUCAGAUGUGCCCAGAUGGGAUUAGCUAGUAGGUGGGGUAACGGCUCACCUAGGCGACGAUCCCUAGCUGGUCUGAGAGGAUGACCAGCCACACUGGAACUGAGACACGGUCCAGACUCCUACGGGAGGCAGCAGUGGGGAAUAUUGCACAAUGGGCGCAAGCCUGAUGCAGCCAUGCCGCGUGUGUGAAGAAGGCCUUCGGGUUGUAAAGCACUUUCAGCGGGGAGGAAGGCGGUGAGGUUAAUAACCUCAUCGAUUGACGUUACCCGCAGAAGAAGCACCGGCUAACUCCGUGCCAGCAGCCGCGGUAAUACGGAGGGUGCAAGCGUUAAUCGGAAUUACUGGGCGUAAAGCGCACGCAGGCGGUCUGUCAAGUCGGAUGUGAAAUCCCCGGGCUCAACCUGGGAACUGCAUUCGAAACUGGCAGGCUAGAGUCUUGUAGAGGGGGGUAGAAUUCCAGGUGUAGCGGUGAAAUGCGUAGAGAUCUGGAGGAAUACCGGUGGCGAAGGCGGCCCCCUGGACAAAGACUGACGCUCAGGUGCGAAAGCGUGGGGAGCAAACAGGAUUAGAUACCCUGGUAGUCCACGCCGUAAACGAUGUCGAUUUGGAGGUUGUGCCCUUGAGGCGUGGCUUCCGGAGCUAACGCGUUAAAUCGACCGCCUGGGGAGUACGGCCGCAAGGUUAAAACUCAAAUGAAUUGACGGGGGCCCGCACAAGCGGUGGAGCAUGUGGUUUAAUUCGAUGCAACGCGAAGAACCUUACCUGGUCUUGACAUCCACAGAACUUUCCAGAGAUGGAUUGGUGCCUUCGGGAACUGUGAGACAGGUGCUGCAUGGCUGUCGUCAGCUCGUGUUGUGAAAUGUUGGGUUAAGUCCCGCAACGAGCGCAACCCUUAUCCUUUGUUGCCAGCGGUUAGGCCGGGAACUCAAAGGAGACUGCCAGUGAUAAACUGGAGGAAGGUGGGGAUGACGUCAAGUCAUCAUGGCCCUUACGACCAGGGCUACACACGUGCUACAAGGCAUAUACAAAGAGAAGCGACCUCGCGAGAGCAAGCGGACCUCAUAAAAGUAUGUCGUAGUCCGGAUUGGAGUCUGCAACUCGACUCCAUGAAGUCGGAAUCGCUAGUAAUCGUAGAUCAGAAUGCUACGGUGAAUACGUUCCCGGGCCUUGUACACACCGCCCGUCACACCAUGGGAGUGGGUUGCAAAAGAAGUAGGUAGCUUAACCUUCGGGAGGGCGCUUACCACUUUGUGAUUCAUGACUGGGGUGAAGUCGUAACAAGGUAACCGUAGGGGAACCUGCGGUUGGAUCACCU